GAUGAACGCUAGCUACAGGCUUAACACAUGCAAGUCGCGGGGCAGCAUGGGGGUUGCUUGCAAUCCCCGAUGGCGACCGGCGCACGGGUGAGUAACGCGUAUCCAACCUGCCCUUCACCACGGGAUAACCCGGCGAAAGUCGGACUAAUACCGUAUGUUGUCCAUUGACGGCAUCCGAUUUGGACGAAAGGUUUGGCGGUGAAGGAUGGGGAUGCGUCCGAUUAGCUGGACGGCGGGGUGACGGCCCAGCGUGGCGACGAUCGGUAGGGGUUCUGAGAGGAAGGUCCCCCACACUGGAACUGCGACACGGUCCCGACUCCUACGGGAGGCAGCAGUGAGGAAUAUUGGGCACUGGGCGUAAGCCUGAACCAGCCAAGUAGCGUGCAGGAUGACGGCCAUAUGGGUUGUAAACUGCUUUUAUGCGGGGAUAAAGUGGCCCACGUGUGGGUUUUUGCAGGUACCGCAUGAAUAAGGACCGGCUAAUUCCGUG
rnacentral:rRNA from 1 species